UACGGAGGGUGCAAACGUUGCUCGGAAUCAUUGGGCGUAAAGCGCACGUAGGCGGCUCGUUAAGUCGGGUGUGAAAGCCCUAGGCUCAACCUAGGAAGUGCACUCGAAACUGGCGAGCUUGAAUAUGGAAGAGGGUCGCGGAAUUCCCGGUGUAGAGGUGAAAUUCGUAGAUAUCGGGAGGAACACCAGUGGCGAAGGCGGCGACCUGGGCCAAUAUUGACGCUGAGGUGCGAAAGCGUGGGGAGCAAACAGG
rnacentral:rRNA from 1 species